AUCGCCGCUGCUUCUGAAAAUCUCGACCAAAACCUCGCCGCCUCUGCCUCUAAACCGUGAAUAGGUGAUUUCCAGCGGCGAUUUCAGGAAUUUCCAGCCUCUACAGCGCUCAACCAGUAAUCGCCGAAAAUAGUCCACCGUCGACAAGAUGAAGCUCAAUUAUGAAACCCUAGAUCAGUGUAACCAAGCCAUCUCAGUUAUGAAACCCCAGAUGUAACCAAGGAAUUUUACCGACGAUUAGAAGGGAUUUGCUUGGUGAAACGAAAGAAUUUUGUUGGCGAUUGUGAACUGACUUUAGCUGCUUGUUUCUCCGACUACACCUAGUUUUGUGUUACAGAAUUUGCAUUUCGCAUCAUAUGGAGACAUAUAUUGGCAUGAAGGUCAGCGAAUAGAAAUGCGAUCUAACAAACAAGAAAUCCAAGUCAUUCCAGCUACUUUGUAGCGAAUAUUAUACAACAAUGUUGUACAACAACAACAAUCUUGGAAAUUACUCUCAUAAUUAUUACGUCAAAGCACUUUGAGGGGCGGAAAAAGAAAAGACCGAUAGGCAAUAGAUGUUGAGAAGAUGUUCAAAUACUACCACAAACUGUGAUCGAUUAUUGAACUUUUGCUGUCUUCAAAUAUAAAGUUUGGUUUCUGUA